UUUGGGAAGGCCUCACUCCCUCUUCCCUCUUGAGAGCUCUCCAACAGCAUCUGAAGCAGCUACAUAAGGCCGGAGCCCUUCACCAGCCAGCCCCAGCCGACAGCCACCAGCACCCUCAUUCAUCCGGAGAUUUCGUGUGGAUCCCGAACCAUCAGAGGUCUACGCCUACCGCGCUGAAGUGGGACAGCCCGCUCCAGGUGCUCCUGCCAUGCAAACAGCUGUGAAGAUGGCAGAGAGGGACACCUGGAUCCACCACUCACCUCUUAAACGAGCGGAGGAGGUUGAAUCCCUGGCAUGAGUGACUCUGCAGAACCGUAUGGCGUUGGACGUAUUGACUGCAUCCCAGGGAGGAACCAAACUGGCUAUAUGUUUGUCAACAGAUCAGGCGUGAUUCACUCUGUAUUAGAGAGCCUUCAGCAGGAAAACGGUGACCGACAAGGCCAGGAUCCACCUUAUCAGCACCUUUAGCAACAACCAAUCGCCCACUGCCACCCAGAGCCCUGAGACCCCAGAUUAUCAGCAACCCUGGCAACGGUGAAUUCCUUACUGCCGCCCACAGCCUUGAGAUCCCAAAUUAUCAACAAACCCGACAGUGGUGAAUUACUGCCCGUAAGCCCAUAGCCUUGAAACCCAACACCUACGUUUGUUGAAGACCUCUCGCUGAAGACAUCUUCGGCCACGGAGUGUCCGCUGGAUGACCCAAAGCCGAUAACGAAGGAAUUUGGUGUAUAAUGAGAGGCUAAUGAAGACAACAACAAAUGGGGGUGGAGCGGCACGUGAUAUGCCAAUCCGGCACACGAACAAAUGGGACCUGAGGGGAGGGGUCGGGCUAGAGGGAGGGACUUGGUGCUACAUCACCCAGGGAAGCAGGACCAGCGGGAAAUAUAAGGAUGGGCUCAUCCUCAGUUCUUUGUCUUUGGCUACCCAACGGCCACUGACCUUUUGUUGCAACAAAAUGAAUAAAAGACUGGC